rnacentral:rRNA from 1 species
GGUAGCCGGCCUGAGAGGGCGACCGGCCACACUGGGACUGAGACACGGCCCAGACUCCUACGGGAGGCAGCAGUGGGGAAUAUUGGGCAAUGGAGGAAACUCUGACCCAGCGACGCCGCGUGCGGGAUGAAGGCCUUCGGGUUGUAAACCGCUUUCAGCAGGGAAGAAGCGAAAGUGACGGUACCUGCAGAAGAAGCACCGGCUAACUAUGUGCCAGCAGCCGCGGUAAUACAUAGGGUGCAAGCGUUGUCCGGAAUUAUUGGGCGUAAAGAGCUCGUAGGUGGUUCGUCACGUCGGAUGUGAAACUCUGGGGCUNAACCCCAGACCUGCAUUCGAUACGGGCGANCUKGAGUNUGGUAGGGGA